AUAAAAAAGCCUGCAGAUUUUGACAUCUGCAGGCACCUUUUUGGAAUAGACGAAUGCUAUUCCAAAAGGUAAAGGGAGAGGAGAAACCGGAGGAAGAACUUAUGGGGAAACGUAAGCCUUCUCCGUCU
rfam:Pontibacillus litoralis JSM 072002 contig2, whole genome shotgun sequence.